AUGAGCCUUGGGCUUGAAUCUCUCGCUGGGAUGAGUUUGAAGCGUCUCUCUUCAGUGCAGCAGCCCACGUUGUCUCUUCGGUGUCACUCCGCAUCGUGGGCUGCUUGCUCCGUCGACUCCUCCGCUUUCCCCAUGAGCGAAUGUAACCUAGGCGAGAUGAGUAGCCACCGCCGCCGCCCACGCUCACCGCCGUCGGUGCCGCCGCUGGAGGACGACAACCUGCUCUCGGAGAUCCUCCUCCGACUCCCCCCAGAUCCGUCCUCCCUCCCUCGCGCCUCCCUCGUCUCCAAGCGCUGGCUCGGCCUCAUCUCCGACCCCGGCUUCUCCCGCCGCUUCCGCCUCCACCACCGCGGCAACCCUCCUCUCCUCGGGGUCUUCGGCACCUUCGACUUCCAUCCUACAAUGGAGCCCCCCAAUCGUGUCCCGGAUGCCCGCUUCUCCUUUUGCACCGAUGCCCUCUACGACGGCAGUUCAAGAAAUUUUCCAGAACCUUGUUGA
rnacentral:rRNA from 1 species